rnacentral:rRNA from 1 species
GUGACCUCAAAUCAGGUAGGACUACCCGCUGAACUUAAGCAUAUCAAUAAGCGGAGGAAAAGAAACUAACAAGGAUUCCCCUAGUAACUGCGAGUGAAGCGGGAAAAGCUCAAAUUUAAAAUCUGGCAGUCUUUGGCUGUCCGAGUUGUAAUCUAGAGAAGUGUUAUCCGCGCUGGACCGUGUACAAGUCUCCUGGAAUGGAGCGUCAUAGAGGGUGAGAAUCCCGUC